AUCGUAACAUAAAAAAACAAAACUACUUAAGCCAAUGAGUUACACGGCUUCAUCAAUCAUCAUAGCUCUUCUCACAAAACACUGUUUCACAUGAACAGUGCCAUCUUCACUUGAUUCGAUAGCUAAUGAGUGGGGCUCCGUGCAUGCUCAUUUGACUGGAUUUUAUCCAAAGCUGCGUGUGAUUUAAAUUUUUGAUCUGCUGCAUAUAUGGCCUAAGAAAAAGUUCCCGCUUUUUUUUUUUUUUUUUCAAGUUUCAAAACUCCCUCCAAAGUCUCUAAUUUCAAGGGAAAAAAAGCUGAUCACUCUCUGGCUCUCUGCAACUACUGCCCCUGUUCUUUCUUCUUUUCCCUUUUCUCUCUUCCUUCCACCUCCUUUCUUUUCUGGUUCGAGAUCCGCUUUAGCAUCCCACCCUUUCUCCGUUCAACUCUCGCGUCUGUGGGUUACCAAGGGACAGGGCUUGGGAAUAUGAGUUCUCACGGUGGCUGCCGCAGAGCGACGAGUUCACGCUUUGGGUGUUUUCGGAUUUAUUUGCAUUGCUCUUUGUGUCUCUCCUUACCGCUUCCUCCGUUUGGAUCUAGAUGGGGAGGCCGUCGCACCCUCCAUUUUUCAUGUUUGUCGACCAUCUUUUAGUGAGUAGAUGGAGCUUCAGGUGAAUAAAAGGCAGUAAAAACAUCGAAGCUCAUAAGAGAUGGAUUAAUUCGUGAACCUUGGUUGGAGAAGUUGUUUGAAGCGGAGCAUGAUGUUCUCAAGGCUCUCAGGGGAAUUGGGAUUCAAAUCAUGGUUGGACUCCCCAACGAGAUGUUGUCUCUCUUAAGAUCUUCCCCCUUUGCUGCUAAUUGUGGGUUCUCCAGAAUGUUUAGUCGUUUAUAUGAAGCUGGUGCGGAUAUCAGCUGCUUUAUCCCACAAUGAUCCAGAGCUCUACAUCUACCAAGACCACUGGUGAGAUGUCGUUGGCAAUCAAUUACCUCGUUGGGCCUCAAAUAAGAAGGGAAAGAUGAAUAUCUAUCUCUCAGAGCAGGAGACUUUGGAGAAAUCAGGUUCCCAUAAAAGCUUUGCAAGAGGCAGCUUGAAGUAACACAUGUCAUAUGGUCUAAAAUAUGGAAGUUACUGGCAUAAAGGGUCAAAACAUUCAUCUGGCUCAUGGUUAAAGGACGCCUACAGACUAAUGCUGAGAGAGCUCCAAGGAAAAUGACACUUGGCCAAUGGUGCUCACUUUGUCAUGCUUCGGUUGUGAGCAUAGAUCACAUACUUAAAGAAUGCCAAUUUGCAGCGAGUGUUUAGAGGAAAAAACUCCCUACUAGCAUGUGCACUAAUUUGUAUGGGAUUGAUAUCAUUACUUGGCUUACUCUAUGCUCAUAAAAGCUUCAUCUUGACACCUCAUGGAAGAUUGGGGUAAGCAUAGCGUCCUGGAAGUUAUGGGGAGGGAGGAAGAUGCAUUUUCUAUGAUGAAUCCUCUGCUAACGGCAUCUUAUUUCAAAUUUUCAAGUUAUGGCUAUUGUUAAUCAUACACUUAGAUCUUUUUCUAGCUUUAAAGCUUUGAUCUAAA